UACAUAGGCUCCAAGCGUCGUUCGGAAUUACUGGGCGUAAAGCGCGCGUAGGUGGCUUGAUAAGCCGGUUGUGAAAGCCCCGGGCUCAACCUGGGAACGGCAUCCGGAACUGUCAGGCUAGAGUGCAGGAGAGGAAGGUAGAAUUCCCGGUGUAGCGGUGAAAUGCGUAGAGAUCGGGAGGAAUACCAGUGGCGAAGGCGGCCUUCUGGACUGACACUGACACUGAGGUGCGAAAGCGUGGGUAGCAAACAGG
rnacentral:misc_RNA from 1 species